rnacentral:rRNA from 1 species
UAGAGUUUGAUCCUGGCUCAGAACGAACGCUGGCGGCAGGCCCAACACAUGCAAGUCGAACGCUGUAGCAAUACAGAGUGGCAGACGGGUGAGUAACGCGUGGGAACCUUCCCAAUGGUGCGGAAUAGCCCAGGGAAACUUGGGGUAAUACCGCAUAAGCCCUUAGGGGGAAAGAUUUAUCGCCAUUGGAUGGGCCCGCGUCGGAUUAGCUAGUUGGUGAGGUAAUGGCUCACCAAGGCAACGAUCCGUAGCUGGUUUGAGAGAAUGACCAGCCACACUGGGACUGAGACACGGCCCAGACUCCUACGGGAGGCAGCAGUGGGGAAUCUUGGACAAUGGGCGCAAGCCUGAUCCAGCCAUGCCGCGUGAGUGACGAAGGCCUUAGGGUUGUAAAGCUCUUUUGCCGGGGACGAUAAUGACGGUACCCGGAGAAUAAGUCCCGGCUAACUUCGUGCCAGCAGCCCCGGUCAA